rnacentral:tRNA from 1 species
GCCCGGUUAGCUCAGUCGGUAGAGCAUCAGACGUUUAAUCUGAGGGUCGCGGGUUCGAGUCCCUCAUCGGGCG